CAACAAAAAAACCUGUUCAGACUCAGAAUAGACUUAUUCCUAGUCUUAGUACUACCUGUAUCCACACUGCUGUUAUUGCUGGUGAUUGUGUUGUUGUUCUGUGUUGUGAGUUUGUGCCACAACUCUGACUGGGCCAGUUGACGGUUGAUGCUCUUGUCCAGCUCCUGACUGUCAGCACCGACGAAGAGGUACAUAUAGACCAGCCAGUCCCCCCUGUGCCUGUCUAAUUUCAAGAUCUGAAAUGAGGGAAGAAAGGGAGAAAAAAACGUGGCCUUACUUGUGCUCUACAAGACUGAGAGCUGUUGACGGUGGAGAACACUGGAGUACACUGAACUGAACCAGCUUGAGAUGAUGUGUGCUUCGUGACACGGAUUUAUGGAUACUCAUUAGUCCUCAGAGCCCAGGACAGCCUCCUUCACCCACAGAACGGCCUCAGGUCUCCAGUCUCCCUCUGGAACUGUGAGGUCAGCCAGGCGACAUUUGAUAGCCUGGAGGGAGCAACGACACACACACACACACACACACACACAAAAGAUGAACCUAUAUGUGUGUGUUACAACUACUUUAUCCAGGGUUCAUAGACAUUACAAAAUUAAAAACGACUUUCAAGUACUUUAAGCUUUUCCAUUUUUUCCAAAAAUACUACACACUGUAGUCUCACUCAGUGUCCUACCCACAGCAAUAUCUGACUGGUUGCACAUCACAAGUGAUAGCCUAUCAACACUGAAGGCUGACAAACAGUAGUCUCACAGUUUGAAAUCUCAGCACUUUACAAUCCUCUGGAAAUGUCUUAAUGCACAGUAGAUGCCUGAACCCUAACAACUGUAUGCCCCUCACUUCAAGGACAUGCCUUACCUGAAACAAUGCAUUAUGGAGAGAAGCUUUAAAUCAGCGAACAGAGGAAAAGAUGCUUCUCCAACCAUUUGCUUGGUAGAAGAUUAAGGUGGAUUAACUCCCACAACACACACUAAAACAACUGACCUGUGGUGGGAUGAUGGUGAAGUCUUUGAGGAAAGGAGGGGGGAUCUCUCGGAGAUCAGUGACCUCUACAGUUGCUGGGAGACCCAAGUCUAUGAAGAGGAUCUCCAUCACUCGGUUGCCGUACAUGUUGGUGAUCUGAAAACAAGCAGAGCAACACGUGAGUGGCUGCCAAAGAAAUAUGACCUCAAACUGUCAUAUUUGAAACUGUAACAAUAUGCUAUCCCAGUACUCUCAAUGUCUAAAAUAACUGUUAGCUUUUUAAUUUAAGCCUUUAAAAAAAUAGAUUUGAAUGAUUCUGUUCUUACCUCCACUCUGGACCACUUUCCUUUGUAACGGGCAAGAUAGAACUUGCCACUGAAGGGUCUGGAGACCAGAGACUCGGAUGUCAUCUGGUAGGUAAAACACAAUUAUAAAGACCAUCUGUCUUUCCACAGACGAUUUUUGGAGUUGUGUAUGAACAAAUGCAUCAAACAUGAAGUGAUGUAGAAAAUGUGUUAGGAAUCAGAGGGUUUUUAACUUUGACCCCAGCCAGGGACGUCUGCUGACG